rnacentral:tRNA from 1 species
ACUUGACUGGCUCAGUUGGUAGAACAUAAGACUCUCAAUCUCAGAGUCAUGAGUUCAAGCCCCAUGUAGAGUG